rnacentral:lncRNA from 1 species
UCACGAUCUUGGCUGCUGCUGGUUUGGGGAAAGCCCUGAACGUAGGUGCUCCUCAGCUGCUGCGGCGUGAUGUCCUGGACGCUCAUGUGCUUCAGUCUGUCCUGCACGCUGGCCGUGAGGUCCAUGUAUGCCUCAUCGAUGCUGGCCCGCUCUAUGACAGCGAAGCGCGACAUCACCUCGAUCACCUCCACACUGGCCUCCCUGUAACUGAUGCACAGCGGAAACAUGCAAUUAACAGUGCAGUCGCCCAGAAAUGAACAUCUGCUGAAAACCUGCUCCCUCUCAGACCAUCCAAGAUGAGUUUGUUUCUUCAUCAGAUCUGGAGAAAUGUGUCACAUCAAUGGAUGCUCUGCUGUGAAUGGGUGCCGUCAGAAUGAGAGUCCAAACAGCUGAUAAAAACAUCACAAUAAUCCACAAGUAAUCCACACAUCUCCAGUCUAUCAGUUAACACCUGAAGAGAAAAGAUGUGUGUUUGUGAGGAACAAAUCCAUGUUCCAUUACAAUGCUGUAAUGUAAUGCAGAGCUAUAAUGCCAGAUUUCUCCAAAUCUGUUGCAAUGAAGAAACAAACUCAUCUACAUCUUGGAUCGCCUGAUGUUGACAGCAUUUUCAGCAAAUAUUCAUUUCACAUAAGCUGUUUUUCAUUUCUGUAAAGCUGUUUUGAGACAAUGUGUAUUGUGAAAAGUGCUAUACAAAUAAAUUUGACUUGACUAAUGAAUCUGGUCAAGCAGCUAGUAAACUUAAGAAGCCUGGUAGGGACACCAGCAUCCCAAGCUAUGCUGAUAUUUUGAGCUGGACUUGAAUUAGGAAUGCUCACAGACAUAUAUUAAUGGUGUGAUGGCCGUGUAUGUGUAAUAUUUUUCUGCUCUCUGUAUUCUGUAGCAGUUAGAGUUCUGCCACCCAUUCCAGGUGCUUCAGUAAUGUCCAGUAUGCCAGCGGUGCCCCCAGUGUCAGACCCGCAGCAAACUGUCCUGGCCCAACAGCAACAAACCAUCAUCAACCAGCAAGCUGUCAUUAUGGUAAUAAAGUCUGUAUUUAAUGGCUUUAUAACCAAACAGAUUUCUUUAAUUCAGUUUAGUUCAGUUUAGUUAAGUUUAGGGUUAUUACUGUU